AUGCACAAUUGGUUUGGACUUCUGAAACACCAUGGAGAUGAGGAAUGCUGCAUCAUGGACGUUAUAUGUGGUCAGGCUGUGGCAGUGCUAUCUGGAGAUGGGGAUGCUCUCUACCAACGAAGGGGACACCUGAACCCAGGUGCACUGCUCAGAAGUUUCAGGAAAAGCACGCUGAUUUCCUUUCUGCCUGGAGUGAAGCUUGGUGUGCAUGGGGAUGCUCAGAGACAGGAUUUAAGAAAGGCAAAGGCAUCCCGAAUCCUUCGUGCUCCCUGGGAACACACAAGCACAACUGCUCUCUGUCACAAUCAGUUCUGGGAUUGCUGCUCCCUCCCAUUUUUCCCAUGGUGGAUUCCAGUCUGACCACAAACUGCAGAUCUUGUUCUGUUUAUUGGUUGCAGGAUGACCAAGAGUCCUGAGGAGGGCUCCUUGCUGCAGGAUGGUCCUCGCUGCCCAGUGUGCAGGUGCUUGUAAAACCACAGGCUGUGAGCGUGGUAUUAGCAAGCAUUAGUGGAGCUUUUGUGUCAUCUCCAGGGAAGAGCUGAGCACAUUGAAGGCAGAAGACAGAUGUCAUUCAGAGGUUAAGUCACUCCUGGACAUGUUCAGAGCUCGUAACUACAGCUGGGGUUGAAACUUUUUGUCCAAAACUUUUCUUUCAUU
ensembl:lncRNA